UAAUACUCCAUAGAUUAGAGACACUGGAAUGUUCUUUAGUCGAAAGUUCUGGCGCCUUAGGAUGGAUCUGCGGUCGAUUAGGUUGUUGUUGGGGUAACGGCCCAACAAGCCUGUAAUCGAUACGGGUUGUGGGAGCAAGAGCCCGGAGAUGGAAUCUGAGACACGAUUCCAGGCCCUACGGGGCGCAGCAGGCGCGAAAACUUUACAAUGCAGGAAACUGUGAUAAGGGAACUCCGAGUGCCCGUAUACGCGGGCUGUCCAGGUGUUUAAAAAUCAUCUGAAGAAAGGGCCAGGCAAGACCGGUGCCAGCCGCCGCGGUAAUACCGGCGGCUCGAGUGGUGGCCACUAUUAUUGGGCUUAAAGCGUCCGUAGCUGGACCGAUAAGUCUCUUGGGAAAUCCGCCGGCUCAACCGGCGGGCGUCUAAGGGAUACUGUUAGUCUAGGGACCGGGAGAGGUGAGAGGUACUCCGGGGGUAGGAGUGAAAUCCUGUAAUCCCCGGGGGACCACCGAUGGCGAAGGCAUCUCACCAGAACGGCUCCGACAGUGAGGGACGAAAGCUGGGGGAGCGAACCGGAUUAGAUACCCGGGUAGUCCCAGCCGUAAACUAUGCGCGUUAGGUGU
rnacentral:rRNA from 1 species